CAGUCUCGCUCGAGCAUUCGUGGCAGGUGGAAAUUGUGUUUACCCGCGUUAACACGCUAAGGGCGCAGCGAUACCGCGUAUCCACAGGUUAUCGGCAAUUUGUGUGUUGCGACGCAGUGAAUGAACCCGAUCCGUUUACGUAAACAAGAAGACCGGACGGGCAAGUGGUGACAACCCGUCUCGCUCUCACCGCCAGUUGUCAAAAUUGUAAACUCCAUUCGGACAAGAAUUUGCAAAAAUAUCACCUCGGCUCGCUGGUGUUACUACGAUUCAUACAAUAAUUAUUUUUAUCGUUGAAGAAAAAAAAAAAUAAAUAAACAAAUUAUCAUCCCCUAAUUUCGGCGGCGGACUUCUUGCCGAGUUUUUGGGGAGUUUGUCGGAAUGCAACGACGCUUUGAUGUGAAUCGGUAAAAAAGCCAAGAUACCUCGCACCUCGACGCCGGAAGUUCGGGGUAUAGGGGGUAAAUAUUCAUGGGCAGACCAUCGGCCUCGGAACCAGAGGACCUCGUCGCUGCUUAUGGCAACCUCGGCGUUACCCAUUUACCAUCAGGCCGGCGUCCCGGAGGCCCGGCGAUCACCGGGUGUCGUUAUUCCUCCAAUAACCGCCUGCCCGCCGAGCAGUUUUCCGGAUAAAUUUCAGGACUUUUUCACCGCUCUGACGGAGGAUGCGGACGACAUGCCGAGCUUGCUCGAAGACAAACUCAUCCCCAGGAAAACAGAGCCGAUUAACCCCGAUUUCCGCCCACGCCUCUGGAGCAAACGAACUUUCCAACGGCGCAGCAGCGAGAUCGAGGUACGUGCUCAUCACGCUUCUUUCACCGCGGGCCAGGGCCAAAGCUCCUCCGUAGACGGGCCCAAGUCACCAAAUCCUUCCAGGAGGCGAAGCUCCAGCAUCGCCGUCGCCAGACCGACGCCAGAUCUGCACAGGUUUCUUCAGGCAGAAGCUGGCCCAUGGGGACACUUGUCUCCGUCUCCUAGAAGUCCAACCAGAACUGCUGCGAUUAGUCCCGGCGGACUUUCGUCAACGUCACAUCUGAGUCCCGGAGCAAGUCCCGGAGGACCAAGUCCAACAAGUCCUGCCGGUCCGGCGUCUGCGGGUCGUGGACCAUCACAUCGACAAUACCGUUGCAGGACGAGCAGCAUGCCAGCAGUCCCACGUCACAGACCAAUGCUCGCCGAGAUGAAACGUAGCGGGAUAAACGGCGCCGAAGAGGCCGAGGGUGAAGACGGGGUCGAAUACUACAGACUUCGCUCGUUCUCCAUAACAGCGAACGGCGUUUUCAACUUGGGCGACUCGCUGAGAAGUCGACGUAGUAAAAGUAUCAAUAGCGUAACAUCUUCGGGAACAAGUUGCAGCAGCUCUCGCGAUGCCAGACACCUGAGCCUGGCAUCGCAGCUGUCGGGAACAGAAGGUGAGGAAGACGACAGCAACGGACGCGUCGCUACUUACAAGGUCGGGAUGCUGGGUGCUUCUGGUGUCGGAAAAACGGCUUUAACAGCCCAGUUCACAACCAGCGAGUACAUCUGCGCGUACGACGCUUCGCUAGACGAGGAAUACGGCCAGAAGACGGUGUCCGUUAUGGUCGACGGUCAAGAGACGGAGCUGGAAAUCAUCGACCAUCCAGCCUCGGAAAUGUCGGUCGAGUCCUUUUGCUCAACCUACAACCCGGACGUUUACGUGGUUGUCUACUCAGUCGUCGAUAGAAGAAGCCUGAAAAUGGCGGAGGAGACCCUGCUCUAUCUUUGGAAAAGUGACUACAUGGCGUCGCAUGGCGUUAUCCUCGUUGGGAAUAAAGUUGACCUGGAAAGAAAGCGAGAGGUCCCAUUAGUCGUUGGACGUCGGCUGGCAAACAGUUGCGGAUGCAAGUUCAUCGAGACAUCGUCCGGCUUGGCCCACCACGUAGAUGAGUUGCUCGUCGGAAUUCUUGCUCAAGUCAAGCUCAAUCCUCAGCGAGAUCGAGAUCAAGCAACUAGGAGAAAAAGGAGUAAACACCGCCGGCGUAUGCUCAAGCAUUUACUCGGUAUCAAGAGAAAAACUAAGAGCUGCGAAAAUCUCUUCAUAUUAUAAUUUCGCGAGAAAGCGUUCAGCGAUGAGUAUGAAUGAGAAGAAAUUUUGUACGAUGAUCGGUGUGAUUUUUAUUGAUUCGAAUGAUAAUUUUUACUGCUUUAGAUCUUCGGGUUUUCUUAGCUUAGGAAUCCAAUUAUACAGUCUCUGUCUGUCAUGAAAUUUAAGAUUAUGUAUACUUUUUAUUAUCGAAUUAUUUUCGGAUAAGGCCAUGGCCGAAUAGAGCUAAGUGUAAGUUAACAAAAUAUGUUUACAUUGAUUAGGUUAUCUUUAGUGUUAUUUAAUAAAUUAAUAAUAAAUUACAGUUGAGCCGGUACGGGCAAUGGUUAUUAUCGUAGGUGAACGUCAUACCUGAAGAACAUGUAACUCCGAUUUCUUCAACCCACGUUAUUUCGAAGACGACGAAAACCAGCGUGUACCUGCAUUACGAAAAAUGAGAUUUUAAGGUACGACAGGUGCCGACCAGCAGUUACUAUUUUAAGAUGUUCUUAUUGUUGAGCGAAUGGGGCGAUAAUUUUUAAAACAAGACAAUGCAGUUUUCAAAUAUAAAUGUAAUAAGUGAUAAGGUGAGUGAAAUUUAUUCAUAAUGAAUGUAAUGAUGUGGUAAUUAGAUUUAACUUUCAUCUAAAAGGGAACACCGUAAUAAUAAUCAAUAAUUUAAUGUUUAAGAAAAAUAUUUGACGUUUCAAUAAUGUGGCACUGUAAAUACGUACAUUGUAUGUUGUAUUAUACAUAUAUGUAUAUUAUAUUAUUCUAUAAAAUAAUUAAUAUACAUUUCAUUUGAUAACUCGAAUGUGUUAUGCAUAAGUAUAUUAGCACGUUCUGACCCACGGGGUUCAGUGUUUUGGCAAUGCUAGGAAUUGUCCAAAAUAACAAGGCUAUUGGUUUGCAUGAAGGUUGGAGAACAAGGACGCGAGGGAGAAGUAUUUCUACCUAAUUUUACCUAAUUAUCAAUGAGAAUAUCUCCGUUUUUUAUCACAAUUAUCUUUCUUCUAAAACUACUAGCCAGAUGAUUGUUGGUGACGAGGUGAAAUUAUUUUUUUGAAGUUUCAUGUCUUUCCACAUAUUUUAGUCUAGAAAAACAUUUAUUUCUAAACAUGAGAAGAUAUCGUAAAACAUUCGUUUCGCCUAGAUUUAAUCGGAUUGAAGAAUGAUGGUCGACUAAUGAUCUCUCUUGAUAGUAUUCGGAGGAAAAAUUACAGCAAAUUCAGAAAUUAUAUCGUGCUGUUGCUGUGUGUAAUUUGAUUAACUCCUCCAAAGUCUUAACAAAAUUCAACGAAAGCUAGCAGCAUAUAAACAUUGACAUUGAACAACAUCCAGUUUUGAUUGAUUUAAUUUUUACGAUCCCAAGCAUCACAGAUGCUCAUCAUUUCAAUACAUGAAUAGGGCUGUCAACUGAUGAUUCGAGAAUGAAGACACAUUCUAUGACCAGAAUAAAUUCGAACUUUCGCUUACACGCGUAUGGCUAGAACAAAAGAAUAAAGUAGGACCAAUAGCUUAGCUGCACUUGAAGCGAUAAGCUAGACGUUUGUAAGAUUUGAGUAUGCUUCAUUAUGUUAUGAAUAUGUGCAAUUCAUGUAUGACGAACGCAGCAAGUAUGAAUGAUACCUUCAUGUUGAACUUCAACUGAAGAAUAUUGUGUACUUCUUGAAUAAAUCAGUCGUGUUAUAAAAGUUAUGAAGAUUUCCCAGAUAAAAUUUUUAAGAAUUUCAACAAAGCAUGUGAUGUUGUGUAUGCUUAACUUCUGUAAAUAUUAGUAUGUAGCUAAAUUACAUUAAGAUUUAUAUACUAACGCAUGGUUCUAUAAUAAAACCGAUAUUUACGAGGUAUUACGAGCCUUUUGACUUACGUAUCAGAUUGUCAAAUGUGAGUACUUUAACGUAUGUGGACCACUAUAGUUAACAGAAACUCUUUUAAAUGCACCAAAAUUCAUAAAUAGACCAUGCAACAUUGCAAUCGAUUCUGAUACAUUAUUCUCGUGCAUCUAUUGCACGUAACUUUAUCACGAAUGAAAAAAUAUUACCAUAGUCUAGGACGAAUCAAAACUUGAGAGAUUACUUGAAGAAAAAAAAAACAUGUUAUGCGUGUGAGGGAUUCUUAUAUGAGAAUAAG